rnacentral:rRNA from 12 species
GUUAAUUGAUGGGGUUAGUCCUCGGACGAAGCUCUUGAUCGAAGCCCCGGUAAACGGCGGCCGUAACAAUAACGGUCCUAAGGUAGCGAAAUUCCUUGUCGGGUAAGUUCCGACCCGCACGAAAGGCGUAACGAUUUGGACACUGUCUCGGAGAGGGACUCGGCGAAAUAGACUUGUCUGUGAAGAUGCGGACUACCUGCACCUGGACAGAAAGACCCUAUGAAGCUUUACUGUAACUUGAAAUUGAAACUGGACUUUGUUUGCGCAGUAUAGGUGGGAGGCUUUGAU